AGAGCGAACGCUGGCGGCAGGCCUAACACAUGCAAGUCGAGCGCCCCGCAAGGGGAGCGGCAGACGGGAGAGUAACACGUGGGAACGUACCCUUUGGUUCGGAACAACACAGGGAAACUUGUGCUAAUACCGGAUAAGCCCUUACGGGGAAAGAUUUAUUGCCAAAGGAUCGGCCCGCGUCUGAUUAGCUUGUUGGUGAGGUAACGGCUCACCAAGGCUACGAUCAGUAGCUGGUCUGAGAGGAUGAUCAGCCUCACUGGGACUGAGACACGGCCCAGACUCCUACGGGAGGCAGCAGUGGGGAAUAUUGGACAAUGGGCGCAAGCCUGAUCCAGCCAUGCCGCGUGGAUGAUGAAGGCCCUAGGGUUGUAAAGUCCUUUCGGACGGGGAAGAUAAUGACGGUACCCGUAGAAGAAGCCCCGGCUAACUUCGUGCCAGCAGCCGC
rnacentral:rRNA from 1 species